rnacentral:rRNA from 1 species
UACGAAGGGGGCUAGCGUUGCUCGGAAUCACUGGGCGUAAAGCGCACGUAGGCGGAUCUUUAAGUCAGGGGUGAAAUCCCAGGGCUCAACCCUGGAACUGCCUUUGAUACUGUCGAUCUGGAGUAUGGAAGAGGUGAGUGGAAUUCCGAGUGUAGAGGUGAAAUUCGUAGAUAUUCGGAGGAACACCAGUGGCGAAGGCGGCUCACUGGUCCAUUACUGACGCUGAGGUGCGAAAGCGUGGGGAGCAAACAGG